AUUGAACGCUGGCGGCAGGCUUAACACAUGCAAGUCGAGCGGGGUGAUGGUGCUUGCACUAUCACUUAGCGGCGGACGGGUGAGUAAUGCUUAGGAAUCUGCCUAUUAGUGGGGGACAACAUCUCGAAAGGGAUGCUAAUACCGCAUACGUCCUACGGGAGAAAGCAGGGGAUCACUUGUGACCUUGCGCUAAUAGAUGAGCCUAAGUCGGAGUAGCUAGUUGGUGGGGUAAAGGCCUACCAAGGCGACGAUCUGUAGCGGGUCUGGGAGGAUGAUCCGCCACACUGGGACUGAGACACGGCCCAGACUCCUACGGGAGGCAGCAGUGGGGAAUAUUGGACAAUGGGGGGAACCCUGAUCCAGCCAUGCCGCGUGUGUGAAGAAGGCCUUAUGGUUGUAAAGCACUUUAAGCGAGGAGGAGGCUCUUUUGGUUAAUACCCAGAAUGAGUGGACGUUACUCGCAGAAUAAGCACCGGCUAACUCUGUGCCAGCAGCCGCCGUAA
rnacentral:rRNA from 1 species